GACGAACGCUGGCGGCGUGCUUAACACAUGCAAGUCGAACGGAAAGGCCCUGCUUUUGUGGGGUGCUCGAGUGGCGAACGGGUGGGUAACACGUGAGUAACCUGCCCUUGACUUUGGGAUAACUUCAGGAGACUGGGGCUAAUACCGGAUAGGAGCUCCUGCUGCAUGGUGGGGGUUGGAAAGUUUCGGCGGUUGGGGAUGGACUCGCGGCUUAUCAGCUUGUUGGUGGGGUAGUGGCUUACCAAGGCUUUGACGGGUAGCCGGCCUGAGAGGGUGACCGGCCACAUUGGGACUGAGAGACGGCCCAGACGCCUACGGGAGGCAGCAGUGGGGAAUAUUGCACAAGGGGCGGAAGCCUGAUGCAGCAACGCCGCGUGCGGGAUGACGGCCUUCGGGUGGUAAACCGCUUUCGCCUGUGACGAAGCGUGAGGGACGGUAAUGGGUAAAGAAACACCGGCUAACUACGU
rnacentral:rRNA from 1 species